rnacentral:lncRNA from 1 species
CCCGUGUUGUGUGAGCUCAAGGACAGCUAACUCCUGUUAAGAUGAGAAGUAUGGCAAUCUGUCACCCCAAGGUUAUGGAAGGGGAAAGGGAGAAGAUAAAGCGGGAAAAAAACAUUGUCAGAUUUAAAAUAAGCCACUGGGUUAUGUUCAGUAUGAAAUGGAUCCCUGAUACAUUUAAGUUAAGCCACAAGGUUAUGUUCACAGCAUGAAGUGGACCCCGAUACAUUUCCCAUUGUCAAUUUCUACCUCCCAUUUCUGUGGAGAAAUGGGCUACAACAUCCCUAAGCUGUUUGCUCCUGAAGCUGGGUGAUGAAUGGGGUCUUAGAAUGGAGUGUCAUUUUCCUUUUGGGGACUUUCCCUGGAGCAGAUGAAGAGGUGACUUGAACCUUAAUGGGGACCUGGAGAAAGCCCACUCACUACAGCAAUUAAUAAAUAUUUGACUGAUUGUCAUAAUGCUCUUUUAGUCUAGGUCUCUUUGUGAGAGCCAUGUUUUGCCCUUCCACAGGAUACCAGCAAGGUCUCUAACAUAGUAUUUCUGGGCUUGAUUUAAAUCAAGAGCAGUUGGCAACCCCAUAUCCCAUUGCAGGUGGGUUCUUGGCAUAUAUUAGCCACAGUGUUUUUAAAGGUGUGAUUUACCUUCUCUGUUUUCCAUGUAGAUUGGGGUCUCCAGGAUGCGUGUAACUUUCAUUGGCCAUCCAAUGUUUGUUCCCUUGUUAAGUCAGUUCUGCAGUGAGAUUGUCCAUCAUCACGUCAGGAUCAAUUCCUUCAAAAGUACUCUAGACAUUUCUAAAGACUUUUCUGUUCUGGAAGAGUCAACCUUGACCCACCUAGAGAAGGUAUCUAUCUACCAGUACAUCAGAUAUCUGACAUUUCCCAUGGUACUCCGUACCUGGGCAGGCUCUACCUGUCAGUCUACAAAAGCCUGAGUUAUUUCAUGUCCUG